CCGUCGUUUCUCUUCCGUCUUCAUCGUUCAGCAGCGAUCUAAGCUCUACUCCACCGUCUUCCCGCCGUCGCAAAUAGGUACUACUCCGUCGGUCUUACUCGCAAAUCGAAUAUGAGAUGGACAAGCGUUGUGAUGUUCACCAAAAGGUUUGGAGGCGUCUCUUAUGAAUGGCGUUGCAA